CCCGGUACCGUCACGCUCCAACGUAUUAGGUUGGAGCCAUUCUUCCCGGGCAACAGGAGUUUACAAUCCGAAGACCUUCAUCCUCCACGCGGCAUUGCGUCGUCAGGCUUGCGCCCAUUGCGAACAAUUCCCC
rnacentral:rRNA from 1 species